UCGCAUGCGACGACAGCAAGAAAAGAAACGACACUUUUUCCGGUAGCUCCGUGCGGUUGCAUCGUCGUCACCAUCGCGAGGAGGAAAUAAUUGUGCUGAUUGGCAGUUAAAUUCACCCUUCAUCAGCUUCGCAAGUGAGUUUUAGAUUUAACCGAUUAAAGCCGCUUCCAAACCAAAUCGAGCAAAGACGUCUUUGUUUCUACGACGUGAACCAGAUUUUGGAGGAACAGCCGGGGAAACAAUCGCGGCAUAACGAGACUCCGAGUACGGGGCGACUCCUCGAGCGAGCGCGGUUUUGGAUUUAAGGUGCAAACGCCGAGUGAAACUCGCACGGGAAGUCCGGAACCUGGCAGGACAGGGAAAAAGAGAAGCAGGCAGAUCACCAUAAUUCGGCUUCGGCCGAGAGUGCCAGCACCUAGCGAUCUCAAGAUCAGACAAAAGCCAAAGGUGAAUCGCGUGGAAGAACACCACGAUUUCGGUCGGCAGAAACCGUCUACGGUUUGAGCAGUCAGUCAGGAUACAGACAGGACGAAAGCACCCCAUCGUUUGGGGUGUUUCUGGAGUAUCAAAACUGUUGCACGAUUUCGGACGGAAAUCUCGUCAUCGACGACGAGCUCAGCAAGGGCCUCGGAGAGAUCCCAUCCAGCAAAGCGGUCGCACUGGACGGCCAGAGGGAUCUCCAGCGGAGGCAGCAACCUUGUGAGUGGCGCGGCGAGGGACAGCGCUUUUGGCAGAAUGCGUGGGUGGUGCGGCGAUAGUCGUCCGUCCGCGACAAGGAUCGGUACGGUAGGGGGACGCCCCAUGUAGCCGCUUCCGAAUGCGAACAAGGGCACCGUGAGUACGGAGAAGAAACCGUGAGUAAGAAAACUGAGGUGUUUUGUAAAGUAGGAAGAUAGAGAAAGAGGAGUGAAAGGGAAAGAAGAUAAGAUGACUAGGAGGUAGGAAGUAACAGA